rnacentral:rRNA from 1 species
CCUUGAGAUGAGGUCUCCCACCACGUGAGUGGGUAAGGCUCCCGGUAGACGACCGGGUUGAUAGGCCGGAGGUGGAAGCAUGGUAACGUGUGGAGCUGACCGGUACUAAUAGGCCGAGGACUUGACCUCAA